AUGAUGGCAGAGUUUUAUCAAAGAAGAAGUCAGCAAACAGUAUAUUCCGUUCCGCCUAAAUGUAAGUUGGUGGCAUUAAAUAUAAUCAUAAUUGUUAUCCAGUCUUGAUGUUCUUUCAGUUUUUUAUUUACAGACGCACUUGCCCAAGACCGCUCUGGACAUGGGUUUGUACAAUAUAAAAAUAUGUUUUUAAGUAUUAGUACUAGACAUGCAGUAUAUGACUCUCUUUUUCUCUCUUGCGUUUUGACUUCUAACAGACUUCAAUGACAUUUCAAGUGGUUGUUCAUAAAUUCAGAAGAAUCUCUGCAGAAGUACCCACAGCAAAGUGUGUCUAACAAUCUUCAACGUUGUGCAAAAUGUGAUGGCAUUAUUGUAUUUAUUGACUAUUUAAAUUAGUGUAUCUUUAUAAUAAAUUAAUUCCUUUUAAAACUUAUAAAAGGGUCAGUUCUGGUCCUUGAUUUUGAUCCUGGUUCUAAGCUGUUAUAAAAACAGUAAGCCACUGCUUCUUGGGGCUUAUUGCCUAAUUUUGCCAAACAGCUCCUUUUAGAAGAGCCCCAGUCUUCAUCUGAAGCAGCAACAAAGAGUAAGUCCGUUUAUUCAUUUUUCAGAUUAAAAUAAAGCAUACUCAAUAUUGUUCUAAAUGCUGUACAGACUAUUGCACAAAAGUCUUGCAAAAGUUACAAGACAUUGUUGAAAACCAACAAGAAAUCCUGGCCAUGCAGCGACAAUUGCUGGCUUCUACAGCUGUGACGUGGCAGAGGAUUGAGGAGACCUUCUUGAUAAUGGGCCGUGUCAGACAGUGGAAGAACUGCAGCUUCUGGACACUGAACUUGCCCACAAGGACAAACGAACUAAAAUGAAUGCUACUAACUCACAUAACGCAGUAAAGCAGUCCCUGUAUAGAGUAAAAAAAGAUUGUCGAUUCAGCAACACAGCCCUGGACAGCACCUGGUAACGCCACAUCCUAGUAAGUCACAUCCUAGUUCGGGGAACACAACUAGAGAAGGUAUACCUGUAGUAAAGGUGUUCCUUUAGAGUCUUCGUAGUGCAUUAAAAGACAACGUUAUCGGGAAACACAGGCCUGAACUUAUUUUAUAUAGUCCACUAAUAAUAAUUCUUAAUAUAACAUUAAACUUUAAAUACUAGGCCUUCUCACCCUCCUGUCAAUAGCGCAUCUCUUGCUGUAUGACAUAUAAUGAUAACGUUUUUAACAUAAUAUAUACAGUUGUGUUCAAAAUUAUUCA